rnacentral:lncRNA from 1 species
AUGGACCUGCACAGCACGGGGGCGACACCAGAGCGGGCAACAUUCAGGGCAGCUCCGCUGAGCAGUGUGUGUGUGUGUGUCCAUGUAGGUGUGUGUGCUCGUGUGUGUACACACAUGUGUGAGUGCACAUGCAUGUGUGCUCGUGUGUUCAUGUGUGUGCAUGCAUGUGUGCACUUGCACGUGAGUGCAUGUGGAUGUGUGCACGUGUGUGUUUGUAUGUGUACGUGUGUGUGGUGUGUGUGGUGUGUACACACGUAUCUGCAUGUGUGGUCUCAUGUAUGUGUGCAUGUGUGUGUUUGUAGUAUAUACAUACAUAUGUGCAUGUGUGUGCACUCAUGUAUGUGUGUGUUUAUAGUUCUCUGUGUGUGUGUUCAUGUAUGUGUCCAUGCCGGUGUGUGUGCUCGUGUGUGUACACGCAUGUGUGGUGUGUAUACACACGUAUGUGCAUGUGUGGUUUGUGUGUGCACACAUGUGUGUUCAUGUGUGCAUGUUGUAUACAUAUAUAUGUGCAUAUGUGUGCACUCGUGUAUGUGUGUGUUUAUAGUUCUGUGUGUGUGUUCGUGUGUGUGUAUAGUAUAUAUGCAUGUAUGUGCACUCUUGUAUGUAUGUGUUUAUAGUUCUAUGUGUGUAUGUGUGUUCAUGUAUGUGUCCAUGCAGGUGUGUGUGCUCGUGUGUGUACACGCAUGUGUGAGUACACAUGCACGUGUGGUGUGUAUACACACGUAUGUGCAUGUGUGGUCUCAUGUGGUCUCGUGUGUGUUUGUGUGUGCAUGUUGUAUACAUACAUAUGUGCAUGUGUGUGUACUCGUGUAUGUGUGUGUUUAUAGUUCUGUGUGUGUGUUCAUGUAUGUGUCCAUGCAGGUGUGUGUGCUCGUGUGUGUACAUGCAUGUGUGGUGUGUAUACACACGUAUGUGCAUGUGUGGUCUCGUGUGUGCACACAUGUGUAUUUGUAUGUUCAUGUUGUAUACAUGCAUGUGUGCAUGUGUGUGCACUCAUGUAUGUGUGUGUUUAUAGUUCUGUGUGUGUGUGGUGUGUGCAUGUGUGUGUAG